rnacentral:lncRNA from 1 species
GAAAAUAAAAAAUUAACAUUAAACGUUGAUAAUUCUAGUGGUUCUCCUACCCCAUUCUCUAUCUUGAAAGUCUAGGGGAAAAACAGCCAUCUUCCUGUAGAGUUUCAAUAGUUUUCAGAUCAUAAUGUUAAUAUUUAACAGAAACUGCCCCAUCUCUUAAUUUAUCUUCAGAGAAAGUCCAUCAGUGAGUUAGGCCUUAGGUCACAAAGUGAAGUUUCUUUUUCAACUUGAUUUCAUAGUUGUCAAAAGAAAGCAACUAAUUUUGACCAAAUCAGGGAGGUGACUGAAUUAUCUGGUUUUAAAUUUGAUUUAUGGUUCUGUCUGCUCUACUGAAACAAAAUGGUGGUUGCAUUUUCAAAUGGGAUUACCCUCUCUUAAAUUUUAACAGCUUUUAGGGCAAUUUGGUACAUAUGUGAUACAUAUUCAGAUGCUAUAACAGGCAUGUAAUUGAGUGAAGUCUCUUAUUUCUAGGAAUGCUAGUUAACCUUAAAUUGUUGUCUUUCAUCCUACAGAACAAUCCAAGGUUGUACUCCCCGAAGCCUAGUCAGGCUCUAAUCAAUGCAUUCAAACUGAUUUUAAUAGUAGCCUCAGUAAAGCAAUAGAAGAUAAAACAACUGGGGGGAAAUAUCUUUAAAGUUAUAAAUAAUAACACUUCUAUUAUACUUUUUGGACUGUCCAUGCCAGUGUUAACAUCUUAGGGCAGACAAUUGGAGAAUCUGACCCACAUUCAUACUAUAUUUCAUAAGAUCUAUAAAUAGCAUUCUCUCUUAAAUGCCUGGGAAGUGAAGUUAUCAGUUCUUGUAAAUGAACAACUCAAAUGGGACUUUCAAAUUUGGCAUAUUGACUUUUGAAGCAAAACAAGCUUAUUAUUUGAAUUUCCCAAAGUAUAGUUAAAAGCUCUAGAGUCACAAUUCCAGCUUUGCUUCUGCCCAGCUCAGUGACCUCAGGUAAGUCAAUUAUUUAUUCAAUACCUUAGUUUCCUCAUCUAUCAAGCUGGUUGAAAAUUAACCUGCUCUACUUAAUGCAUGAAGUUGGUGUAAGAAUUAAAUGAGAUAUGUACAGAAAAUAUUUUUUAAAAGACUGAAGUACUAUCAAAAGCAAAUGUUAUUGUUGACUUUAGCCAGAAACACAAAGUAUCCUGUAUCUUGCAACAGGAACACAUUCUUGGCUCUGAUCUUUAUUCACACCAUCAAAAAAUGUCACUUAGCCUGCUUAUCUCCCUGUUGAACUCAUUAGCUGAAUUAUUAAUAGUUCCUCUGAAAUUCAGGUAGUAACUUCUAUUUUAUUUUGCAUUUUUACAGAACCUACCUAUAAGACUGAAAAUGCUAAUUUUAAACAAUAAACAAUAAGCAAAUCAGGCCACUUAAACACAGAACAUAUUGCUUCCCACACUCUGUAUUAGGGGCUGCAAAUAUCAAGGAGACUGUGGUGAACUGAGAAGCGUAAGUCUAGUGUAAAGGGGGCAAAUUCCGAGUCACCUUUAGUCAAUUGCUAUCAUUAAAAAAUUUAGGUCACCAUAGCCAGAUAUUUUGAUUUUUAUGAUUACAAUUUAGACUUUUAUGUAAAAUAUCUUGAUUUUUAAAUGUAGGGAACUGUUUCAAUCAGGAAAAUCUAGAUUACGCUGUAGGGGCAAAUCUUAGUGGUUUUAAACCACAAAGGUUUAUUUUUCAUUAAUGCCAAGUGCCAACUAAAGGCUAACAGAGAGGUUCUGCUGAUUAGUCUCUCAAGGCUCUAGGCUGACUGUACAGUCAGUAUUCAGUGUUGCUGGCCACCACAACACAAGGAGAAGAGAGAGGUCAGGAAGGUCUUGCUAUAGCAAUUAACUGCUGACCCAGUAGUGACAUAACACUUCUGCUCACAAUGCAAUGGCUAACCUAGUACAUGGACCUACCCCCAAACAAAGGCAACAGGUAUAGCUGGCUUAGCAAAUAACACAAUGAUUAUCACCAUUAUUAACUAAAAGAAAUGUAAAGAUUGGAUAAAAGAAAGAGAGACAAAGAAGAAAGAAAGGAAUGAAAGAGGGAGGGAGGGAAGAAGGGAAAGAAAGGAAGGCAGGCAGGAAGAAAGGAGGGAAAAAAGAAAGAAGGGGAAAGAAAGGAGGCAAAGCUGAAAAGCCACAUACAUUUUUGGGUUAAAUUAAGCUAAUGGGCUACCAGUUUGUGAUAUAUACUCCAUAUCCUUUAUUUAAGCCCUGCUCCCUCCACCUCAGAAAACUAUCAUUUGAAUCAUAUGUUGAUUAUUCUCUUCCUUCUCUAAUAGUCAUAUUGCAUCUACAAAUAUUUCUAAAAAGUAUUUACUUAGUUGUUUGACUUUAUAAAAAGGGUUUUGUGCUGUACAUCUGUUUUACUUAAUAUUACACUGUCAAUAGUCAUUCAUAUUGUCUAUGUUUCAGCAGUCAUUCAUUUUGUUGUAUAACAUUUCAUUGUGUGAAUAAACCAGAGUCUAUUGAUCUUCUUCCACUGAUAGACAUUUAGGUUGGUUACAGGUUUUUGCUUUUGUAAAUUUCAAUAAUGUGUCUCUUAUUUUACAUGUACAAGAAUUUGCUUUGGAUAUUAUCUAAGAACUACUGAGUCACAAAAUAUAACUUUAGAAGAAAUGUGAAAAUGCUUUCCAAAGUGUGCUCCCUCUAGUAAUGUAUAAGAUCCUGUGGAUGCACUUUCUCUUCAAUACACGAUACUGUCAGAUGUUUUAAUUUUUGUCAAUCAAAUGGGUGUAAAAUAGUACCUCACUGUAUUCUUGAUUUGUAAUUCUCUGCUCCUUGGUGGUGAUGAGCAUCUCUUCAUAUUUCCUUUUCUAGGAAAUAUCUAUUCAUGUCUUUUGUUGACUUUUCUUUUGUCUUGUAUUUUUUAUAUAUCAGCAGAAAACAAUUAGAAAAUACAAUUAAAGAGAAUAUAUUUCAAUACCAGAAAUUAUUACUUAUCUAGGAACAAAUCUAACAAAAAGAUGUUUAGUACCUCUAUAGGGAAAACUCUAAAAUUUUAUUGAGAAUUUAAACAAGUACUAAAUAAACGGAGACAUAUACCACGUUAGUGGCAAUGUUAAUAAUAUGAAGAUGAAAUUGAUCUAAAGAUUCAAUGCAAUUACAAUCAAAAUUCCUAAUGGGUUUUCCAUUAAAUUUGGUAAAAUUAUUAAAAUUUUUAUAUGAAAAGAUAGAAGGUCAAGAAUACUGGCUGGGUGCAGUGGCUCACACCUGUAACUACUAUACUAAGUAUAGUAAGAAACUAAUUUCUUAAGACAUGGAAAUGUUGGCUAUUAAAAAAAGGUUGACAUAUUUGAAUACAUUAAAAUUAAGGCCUGGAGUGGUGGCUCAUGCCUGUAAUCUCAGCACUUUGGGAGGCUGAGGAAGAAUUUCUUGAACCCAGGAGUUUGAGACCAACCUAGGCAAAAUAGCAAGAUCCUAUCCCUACAGAAAAAAAAAGAAGAAAGAAAGGAAGAAAACUAGCAUGGUGUAAUGGCACACAGCUGUAAUCCCAGCUACUUGGAAGUCUGAGGCAGGAGGAUCGCUUGAGCCCAGGAGUUCAAGGUUAUAGUGAACUAUGAUCGUGCUACUGCACUUCAGCCUGGGCAACAGAGUGAAAGCCAGUCUCAAAAAAUAAAAUACUUUGUUCAUCAAAAAGAUAAAAGUGAAAAGAUAACUUAAAAACUGGGAGAAGAUAUUCAUAAUGUAACUGGCAAAGAAUCAGUAUGAAGAAUAACUCUUCUGAAUAAAUAAUUUAACUAAAAAUUGACAGCAUGUGGCUGUACUGUUUUCUUCCAAUUUUUCAUUAUGAAAUAGACCAUACAUCAAAUAUAUGCAUGUGUUACACUCAUAAACACACACACUCAGUCUUCCAACCUAUAUGAUUAAAAAGAAAGUUUAAGAAAUAAAAUAUGACAGUAGUAGAAGUAACUACUCUUUAAGGAUAGACAUAAUCCUCCUUUUAGAAGAGAGAAUUUAUUUCCUGUCUCCCAAGUUAUAUGACUUGCUUUUGGUAAAUAAAAGUAGGAGUGUCACAUGUCAUUUACUGGUGAAAGGAUUUAAUUGCCAAUGUUCAAUUUUCAAUCUUCUUUUCUUCCUACUAUGGUAAACUCCUACAAGACAGCACCAAAAAACGGAGUGACUGUGCAACACAGUCACCUGCCAAACCCACAUUAAACAUGAAACGAGUGAAAACCAAAUCUUUAUUUUAAACAAUUGACUUAUUAGGGCUAUUUGUUACUUUAGCUUAACUUGUCUUAACCUGAUUUCAUAAAUACCAAUACCUCUGAAAUUCCCUCUCCCUGAUCACAUUCCCACGCCUCCCCACUAUAUACAAUCAUACGUCACUUAACAAAGGGAUACAUUCUAAGAAAUGUGUUGUAAGGCAAUUUUGUCCUUGCGCAAACAUCAGAGAGUGUAUUUACACAAACCUAGAUGGUACAGCCUACUAUAUACUUAGGCUAUAUGGUACAGCCUUUUGCUCCUAAGCUCCAAACCUGUACAGUAUGUCACUAUACUGAAGACUGUAGGCAACUGUAACAACGGUAUUUGUGUAUCUAAACAUAGAAAAAGCAUAGUAAAAACAGGGUAUUAUAAUAUUACCAGACCAUCACCAUAUAUGUGGUCCGCUGCUAACUGAAAUACUGUUAUUGAGUGCGUGACUGUAUAUAUUAUAUAUACAGCUAGCUGAUCCUUGGUAUAUGAGGAUAAUUGGUUCCAGGAUCCCCAUGUAUACCAAAAUCUGUGCAUACUCAAGUCCCACAGUUGGCGCUGUGAAGACCACAUACACCAAAAGUUGGCCCUCCAUAUACUCAGGUUUUGCAUCCCCCAAAUACUGUAUUUUUUAAAUGCACAUUUGUGUAUAAGUGAACCAUCACAGUUCAAACUUGUGUUGUUCAAGGGCCAAGUGUAACUACAUAUACUGUAUUAACAAACAUUUUAAUGCAUGUGGCUACAGUUAAUACUAAUAUAUUCCCACCAGCUGUACAGUAGCCCGCUAGAUGAGUAUACCACAAUUUAUUUAUCCAUUCCCUUGUUAAUGGACACUUUGGUUGUUUCCAACUUCUUAAUAUUAUAAACAAGACUAUUAACAACUUUCUUGACUAUGUUCCUCAAUGCCCAUACAGGGGUCUCCAGAGUACUACUGUCCUUAUUUUUCCUGGCAACCAACUCCAUCUUCCUAAAUUAUUCAAUAAAUUUUUAAAGAUAGAGAACAGCUAGAAAUGGCUUUAAAAUUAAAGGGCCAAAUCCUCUAAUUUUACAAAUAAGGAAUCCAAGGAGAAAAGAUUUAGAGGAAGAGCUGGAAGUUCUAUAUGCCAAUCACUGUGUUUAGCUACGGGUAUACAAGGAGGUUAAGAUAUUUUCCGUCCUCGAGGUGGUCACGGACUAGCGAUUUGGUUUCCACACUACAGUGGGCCUUGAAGUUCAGGUCCUCACCAUCCUCUAUCUACCCCCGGUUGCAAAGAUAUUUCAAAAUAUACUUCUACAUAAUGAAUAUGUUGUUUAAUUUAGAUUUUUAUAUUAAGUCAUCUUUACCCUGGAAAAUGCGCCUCUGCUAACACACAAACUUUGUGAAAUCUUCCCAAGCUCCAUCCAAUCCCCGGCAGAGUGAGGUUCCUCUUGUCUCUGAAGCAAGUUCUUGCAAUAUCUACUAUCACAUAACUUUGUGGUUUGUCUCCUCAUGAGUCUACUGGAGUCAGACCAGAGGCCAGGGCACUUGUACCCUGUAUAUCAAAGUAUGUGAAUGGAUGUUGAAAACACAAAGCAAAAGAAUUUGAGUAUAUCAAGCAACACAGAGUCAGUUAACUACAUAGCUUAGCCUAACCUUUAUGAUAGAGUUUUUAAAGUCCCCUGGACCAGUCAAAAUGUCCCCAGUCGAUAUAAUCUACAUUGGCCCUAUCUUACUAAUUUACUUCUUUUCCCACUUGUCUGCCCUAGAUUAUUCUCAUAUUUAUGCUAAAAAUGCACAAGCUACCAGAGCAACAUCCAAUUUCCCCACAAACGCUAACAAAAGGUUUACUUCAUUUGCUACCAAAAUAAAGUAUUUGAAUUAAGGUACCAAGAGUGAUGUACACUUCUUACAGAAAUUGUGUGUACUACCACGAUAACCAUACAGAUCACUGCGAAAUUUCAACCACAAGCAAAGUGCAAUUAAUAUUACUAAGUUUUCCACCAACAAUCAGCAAACUUAAUUCCUUCCACAACAACAAAAAAAUUGUACAAGCCCAUUCAAUGAUUACUCUAUAAAGCCAGAGAGAGAAGCACAAGGUUAGCUUACUCCAAAGUCAGUAAGACUGUAUGUAUAUAAACAUAUAAAGUCUUCACAUCUACCCUCUCAAAGACCCUUUUGGUUUGCUGAUUCUCAAAAAUUGGGAAGUACUGCAAAAAUCAUCUGGCAACCAGAAGUGAAUGCAACACUCCAGAUGAAUUGUGAAAAGUACCGAAUUUUUGCCUUUAUUCAGACGCCUGUGCUCCUUUUUUCCAACCAUCUGCUUCUAUAAAUUCAUCACAAUUCUAAUACGGUGUGCGCCCCUCCUCCUUCCCUUACCCUGACCCUAACCUUCCAACCGUUGAUUCCUGCAGCAAUCUUCCCUAAGGGAGACACCCCGGCUGUAGGCUCACUUCCUCUCCCAAGUCCCAUUCCUUUCACAAGAGUCAAAUCCCUACAGUGGAUUCCUGGACCGUUUUUUCUAAAAGAAGAUCCCAGUCCUCUGGCUUGCCCCUCCCGUCGUGACUCCCAUAUUUGAUGGGUCUGAAUGAAAAUCUGAUGAAACAGAUGUUACUUGAAGCUGAGUGACUUUCUCAGGGUCAAGCAAAUAAGUAAAUGGAGGAGCCAGAAUUAUACCCCAGGAUCCCCAUCACAAGGAGGGGAGGGCUACCAUCCCAGCUGCAAACUCUCAUUCAAGGUUUAUGCUGCAGCCAGCAGUGUCCUUGGAGUCUAGUUCAAAGCUGAAGAGAGUGAACCAUGGAACUGGGAGCCAUUGGCGGAGAGGCUGGCCUGAAGGAAGGGAAGUGUUUCAGCCAGAAUGUACUGACGCACAACCAGGAAACCACAAGACUGGUGAGAACCUUUCCAAAACUGAGCUUUAUGAUCAAAAGAGGUACAGGAAACAGCUCUGCCAAGAGUCCUUUCUGCUCCUGGCUGGAACCCUGAGCUUCUGAGGCUCUCUGAGUCAACUCUCUGAACAGAUGCUGUCACCCAAGGAACCAUCACUAAAGCAUUUUUUUGCUUUGCUCUGAGGUGGCCUCACUGGUGGGUGCAAGUGAGUUACUGUCUCUUUUUCUCUUUCUUGUUUCUUUCUUUUGACAGAAGUUGCCAUGUGAUUACUCAAUUCUGAAUUUUAGAGGCCAUAGGUUACUGCAUUUAUGCCCUUUGCCAACUGACUAUUGUUUGGUGCUGGGCCUGCAUACAAACACGACAUCCCCAAACUCUUAUCAAUACCUAGAUCACCUGAUGUGAAUCUAUCAAUACCCUGGACUUAACAGGGUAUUGAAGGAAAGAGAACCGGCAAUUCCUUCAUUUCUUACAUCCCAGCCAGUAGUCCUUCUCCCAGGCUAGUCUUCCUUUUGUUUCCCCUAAGAAUGACUCAACUAGGAAUUGCAUUCUGAUCCCUGUCACAGAUAUAAAUCUUGUCUGGAUACAAGGUCAAAAUAAUUGUGUUCCUGUGGAUUCUUUUUCUUUUUUCAACCAGAGUAACUACCAGUUGCCAUGAAAUAAAUCACAUCAUCAUAUGGCAGAUCCAGCUAAUAGCUGAGACUGGCAGGAUAACUGAACCGUGUACUCAGAGCUAAAUGAUGGAGAAAUUGGACUGGCCAUGGAGCACUUCAAAUUGAUUGCUUAGUAAUGGGAUAUUUUUCCUGGAAAGACAACAGAAUACUUCUGAAUUGUUGGUUCUGUCAUGGGUACAGGCUCCCAUGUACAGGAAAAUAAAGAAAGUGUGAUGAAUUUUUCAUCUGGCCUUCUGCCUACUUUCUUGCUUUCUGCAUGUCUCCAUUUUUAGUCUGUAAGCCCUGCCUAGAUGACCAAUCACUAUUGCCCAUGUGGCAUAAAACCUACAAUUUAACUAUACUUCUUACCAAACUCUCAGCAAGUAUGAGGUAGCCAACAGCCUUUUCAAGAUAAUGACUGAGUCUUAGCUUAGGUUUCAGUCAUUUUAGGAAACAUAAAAAAUUCAAUGGUGGGAGAUCAUACACACUCUGCAAAGAUGUCAGAAGUCAAGUUUUGGGAGAGUCCACACACAAACUGAGCAGUGAUGGUAAAAUAUAUUUUUGAAAUAUUUCUCCUCUGUGACUGUUAUGUGAAGUAGAGCAAACACAUUGUGCUGCAGUGCUCUUUGGGACAUGCCUUUUUUGGGAAGUGCUAACUUUAUACUCUGCUGACACCAAACAUUUGAAUAUAAAACCUUAUUUUUUUCUCUCACUCUGCUCCACUUUUGGCUCAGCUUAUUCUACCAAAACACACUUCAAAAGACUUCUUUAUAGAAAGAAUGUUUCAAAAAUAUAAUAUUUCCAUCUGUUAUUUCAAUAAUACAUGCUCUGGGACUCUCUUUAUGAACCACUUUCCUUUCUUUGCUCCCAUUUAGAUGUAUAAAUAUUUGAUUGUAAAGCUCUAAGGAAUAGUCAGCCAAUCGGGUCACUGAAUUGUGAACAUUCCUAACCCUAUAAUUUUGUCUGUAGCAGGCACCUCCUGCUGUGGAACUAACUGCUAAGGGAUUAUAGCAAUGUAAUCCUCAGACUGUUCCAUCUCAAGGUUACUCUGAAGUGGAGGGAAGGAAGCCGUUUUAAUUUUGAUAAAAUAAACUUUAUUUUGUAACUUUAUUAUUUGUUUUUCUUUUUCCUUUCAACACUUCAUAAUAGAUGUGUCUGGUAAUUUGAAGUUAGCCUCUCUGGUUGAGGUGCCCUAAACCACCUCGUAUUAUUGUA